AAUAUUGCACAAUGGGGGAAACCCUGAUGCAGCAACGCCGCGUGAAGGAAGAAGGCCUUCGGGUUGUCAACUUCUUUGAUAGGGGACGAUAAUGACGGUACCCUAAGAACAAGCCACGGCUAACUACGUGCCAGCAGCCGCGGUAAUACGUAGGUGGCAAGCGUUGUCCGGAAUUACUGGGUGUAAAGGGCGUGUAGACGGGAUUGCAAGUCAGAUGUGAAAGCCCCAGGCUUAACCUGGGAACUGCAUCUGAAACUGUGAUUCUUGAGUGUCGGAGAGGAAAGCGGAAUUCCUAGUGUAGCGGUGAAAUGCGUAGAUAUUAGGAGGAACACCAGUGGCGAAGGCGGCUUUCUGGACGAUAACUGACGUUGAGGCGCGAAAGCGUGGGGAGCAAACAGG
rnacentral:rRNA from 1 species